rfam:Ammonifex degensii KC4, complete genome.
CGAGUAAGCCGGGUGGUCGCGGGCACAAGUGCCGCGAGGCCGUGCCUGAGGAAAGUCCGAGCUCCACAGGGCAGGGUGCUGGGUAACACCCAGCGGGGGCGACCCCAGGGAAAGUGCCACAGAAAUGCAGACCGCCUGUCGCUUGGAAGCCCAGGCGGCGGGUAAGGGUGCAACGGUGCGGUAAGAGCGCACCAGCAGCCGGGCGACCGGCUGGCUAGGUAAACCCCACCCGGAGCAAGACCACAUAGGGGGACAAUGGAGUGGCCCGCUCCGUCCCCGGGUAGGUCGCUUGAGGCACCAGGGCAACCGGUGCCCCAGAUAGAUGACCACCCUCGACAGAACUCGGCUUACAGGCUUACUCGCGCG